AUUGAACGCUGGCGGCAGGCCUAACACAUGCAAGUCGAGCGGAUGAAGGGAGCUUGCUCCUGGAUUCAGCGGCGGACGGGUGAGUAAUGCCUAGGAAUCUGCCUGGUAGUGUGGGAUAACGUCCGGAAACGGGCGCUAAUACCGCAUACGUCCUGAGGGAGAAAGUGGGGGAUCUUCGGACCUCACGCUAUCAGAUGAGCCUAGGUCGGAUUAGCUAGUUGGUGGGGUAAAGGCCUACCAAGGCGACGAUCCGUAACUGGUCUGAGAGGAUGAUCAGUCACACUGGAACUGAGACACGGUCCAGACUCCUACGGGAGGCAGCAGUGGGGAAUAUUGGACAAUGGGCGAAAGCCUGAUCCAGCCAUGCCGCGUGGGUGAAGAAGGUCUUCGGAUUGUAAAGCACUUUAAGUUGGGAGGAAGGGCAGUAAGUUAAUACCUUGCUGUUUUGACGGUACCAACAGAAUAAGCACCGGCUAACUUCGUG
rnacentral:rRNA from 1 species